GAGACCACAGCACGACUCUGCAAGUGUAUUCAGCACAACGUCACGGUUGCUUCCAGUUGGCCAGGGGGAUGCUGAUGAGGUGGUUUCCAGAUCUGAUGAAUUACCUGACUGCCAACGCCAAACUUGGGUUUUCCUCUCUGCAGGAUGGAGAGGUUGGAAGGGCUCCUCUUCAUAGGCAACCAGGAGCUGAGAAGACCUCAUUCAUGCUGAGAUAGUCCUGUCUUCAAGAGAAAAGAGCCUUGUCUUACUGUGUUGACCAGCCUGGAGUGCAGUGGUGUGAUCAUGGCUCACUGCAGCCUCGAACUCCUGGGUUCAAGUGAUUUUUCCUGCCUUAACUUCUCUAGUACUUGGGACUACAGGCAUGUGUCACCAACCUGGCUAAUAUUUGUAUUUAUUUUGUAGAGACAAAGUUUUGCUAUGUUGACCAGGCUGGUCUCAAACUCCUGACCUCAAGUGAUUUUCCUGCUUGGCCACCCAAAGUGCUGGGAUUAUAGGCGUGAGCCACUAUGCCUGGCCAGUUAUGAAUUCUUUAUGUGCAUUUUGAGGACUCAUUUGAAUCCAGGCUCAUGUACCACCUAAGACAGAUUGCUAAAAUACCUUCCAUUCCAUAAGUAAAUUUUGCAUACUUAUUGAAUUAUUUGAAAA